AAGAGAUUUUGCUUGAGAGAGAGAGAGAGUGCAAUCGAAAACCCUAGCAGAGAGAUUUUGCCAUGGAGGGAAGAAGAAGAUGAUUAGUCAUCUACUUUUGUUUCCUUUGGCGAUUGAUUCGUACGGGAACUUCGAAGUUAAAGGUCGGACAACUGUUGUCAGCAGCAGAGGUAUUUUAAUACCUCCAAGUACUAACAUUUCCUUUUUAUUUCUUGUUAGUGUCCGAAUGGAACAGCGGGACAAAUGCGGUUCUCCCGCCACAUGCAGUUCUCCCGCACUGCAUUCACCAUUCACUAUUUUCUUUUUGUAAAAGCAGUUCAAGCGGAGAUCUACAUGCAGUUCAAUAUUUGUUAUCUUUUUGUGGAAAAAGCAAUGCAGAUCUCAUCCGCUAACAUUUGGUGAUGUUGAUCUGCUUUUUUUUUGUCAAUAAAUAACUUUGUUACAACAUAUAACUUUAAAAUAUAUUUAUCUAAUCUUGUGAAUAUAAUAUUUUUACUUUAUUUUAUUUACAAUUUUAAUAAUACAAAAUUAUCAUUCUCUA